rnacentral:rRNA from 1 species
GGACAUUUAAAGGGGAAUUCACAACCAAAUAACACCACUAGAUAGCAAUUAGCAGUACAGCGAAUGAGAUGAACAGAGAACCGACGAAAAUAUUAGCACCAGUUAACGUUCGUCUCUCAUGCAAUACUUGGAAUCCCACCUCGGCCUCUCACCAUUCAGAGCAAAAACAAGGUCAACAUUAGGAAAUUAGGAAUACCAAAUACAAGAUCUCGAACAAAUAUGUAACAAACAUGAAGCACACGCGCCAUCCAUGAGCAAAUCACAAGACCUUGCAAGAAAAAAUUGCACGAACGUGGGAGACAUCGGGCGGCUCCUGCUGCUUUUUCGAUGGGAUGGUAGACGAACAACCUGGCACCUCCUGGCCCUCCGGCUCCCAUCCACCAUGAUCGGAUUGAUGGGGUGGUAGAUAUGGCAGAGCACGGGCAUCGUGAAGGCGGCGUUGGCGGCAGGCCUCUGGUUCCCACCCACCGAAAUCCAAUCGAUGGGGUGUAGAUCUCGCACAGCAGUGGCCGUUGUGUAGGCAGCUUUGGCAGCGGAGUUUGACGGCGGACGGUGGAGCAAGCGUUGGGAGGACACUGACAAGGAUUUAACAAUCUCCGCCAUGGAUUGGGUACAACGACGAGUGGCGAGGUGAGAGCUCCAGAGGGGAAUGAGAAAGAAAUGAGGGGCGAGAGGCGAGGGAAUGCUCU